rnacentral:rRNA from 1 species
UGGGGAAUAUUGCACAAUGGGGGAAACCCUGAUGCAGCGACGCCGCGUGAGUGAAGAAGUAUUUCGGUAUGUAAAGCUCUAUCAGCAGGGAAGAAAACGACGGUACCUGACUAAGAAGCCCCGGCUAACUACGUGCCAGCAGCCGCGGUAAUACGUAGGGGGCAAGCGUUAUCCGGAUUUACUGGGUGUAAAGGGAGCGUAGACGGUAAAGCAAGUCUGAAGUGAAAGCCCGCGGCUCAACUGCGGGACUGCUUUGGAAACUGUUUAACUGGAGUGCUGGAGAGGUAAGCGGAAUUCCUAGUGUAGCGGUGAAAUGCGUAGAUAUUAGGAGGAACACCAGUGGCGAAGGCGGCUUACUGGACAGUAACUGACGUUGAGGCUCGAAAGCGUGGGGAGCAAACAGG